rnacentral:rRNA from 1 species
CAGGGAAUCUUGCGCAAUGGACGGAAGUCUGACGCAGCGACGCCGCGUGGGUGAAGACGGCCUUCGGGUUGUAAAGCCCUUUUCUGGAGGAAGAGGGAGGACGGUACUCCAGGAAUAAGUGUCGGCUAACUACGUGCCAGCAGCCGCGGUAACACGGGGGUUGCAAGCGUUGUCCGGAAUUACUAGGCGUAAAGUGCAGGUAGGCGGAUAGAUAAGUUUAAGGUUAAAGGCUACGGCUUACCCGUAGUAAGGCGUUAGAUACUGUUUAUCUGGAAUGCGGUUGAGGGAGACAGAAUUCCUGGUGUAGCGGUGGAAUGCGCAGAGAUCAGGAGGAAUACCGAAGGCGAAGGCAGUCUCUAAGCCGAUAUUGACGCUAAACUGCGAAGGUGUGGGGAUCAA